ncrna:unclassified sequences M23 RNA
CGGCGUGCCGCAGGCCGAAAACUGCGGCGGUGGGUGCGUCCCACCCGAAAGG